UUUUGCGCGUAAAAAGAAAUGGCUUUUGACUGAAAUUUUAAAAAUGAGGACGAUAGUGAAAUCGCAAAACUUCUUCAAGACAAUUCCAUUUUAUCCUCCGGACAUAUAUUUGUCACAUUUUCGGAUGUCUCGUGAAACAUUUGCGGAAUUAAAGAGCGCCUUGGAGCCUUUUUGGAUAACGUCACGAGGGGAAUAUUCAAUGGAUCAGGCCUUGCAUAUUACCUUGUGAAAGCUUAGUAACAGCAGAGUCCCUUAUCGUGAAUUAUCAAAUAAAUUUGAUGUUUCAAAAGGGAAUGCCCACAAAAUUUUCUUAAAACGAUCAAUGCAAUCUGUAAGUUGAAGAAUGAAAUAUGUUGGCCAUCAAUUUCCCAACAGCAAACAAUAAUGGAGCGUUUCCAAGCGAGCCGGCCGAAUGCAUUUCCUUUCGUAGUCGGCUGUUUGGAUGGGACACAUUUUAAAAUAAACACACCGAAGAAGGAUGCAAUUACUACUGACUGAACUAUGACUGAAUUACUAUGACCGAAAGGGGAACUAUUCCAUUAUUAUGCAGGGCAUAUGCGACAGCACAUUUCGUUUCUUGGAUGUUUUUAUCGGCUACCCAGGGAGCUGCCAUGACGCCAACGUAUGGAAAAAUAGUCCGAUAUACAAAGGAAAAUCGUCUGGAGAGAUACAACUUGCAAAAGAUGCUAUAAUUUUAGCUGACUCAGCUUAUCCUCUUUCAAAAUAUUUGAUCGCGCCUUAUAGAGAUAAUGGACAUCUGUUGAGAGAGGAGAAGCAAUUUAAUUAUUAUUUAAGUUCAACUCGGGUAUUAAUAGAACAAGCUUUUGGGAUUUUGAGGGGAAAGUUCAAAAUUUUAAAUCAUAUUGAUAUUCAAAAUAUGGAAGAGGUAUCAAAAGUUGUAUUAGCUUGUGUA